UCUCUCAAUCAACUGCCAGUCUGCCAUAUCUAAAAUUGCAUUCGUCUUCUUCAAAUUUCUACGGAGCGGAGUAUUUCUAUUUUAAUCAGAAAUUUGAUCUAACAGCUUAGAGGAGAGAGUGUAAAUUCUCAAUAUAAUGGAGAAGAACAUCGAAAGUCACGAAUUCAAGCUUCUGCUCUCGUGCCCCUCCGGUAUCUCCCCUGCUCAGAUGUCAGUGGCUUUCGAUCAAGCUUACGAUAGGAUUCUGCAUCCAGAUCCUGCAUUGGAAAGUUCCAUUUCUGAGAUAUGGGACCAAAGAGUUCAACAAAGCCCGUCAUUGUUCAAUGGUCUAAAGUUUAGGUAUGGAGGAUUCACUUUCAAUUCCAUGAAUGAUUCUCAGCAAGAGCCCCAUGUUUCCCUUCAUCUUGGUCUGACGGAUUAUAGGACAUUUGUGGGCACCAACUUGAGUCCUUUGUGGGAAAGAUUUCUUGUUCAAUCUGAAGAUGACUGCAAGCAGUGUCAGCAUACAUCAAGUCCUCUUGGCAAUGGUGCAAUUGUUGAGACAUCUGACAACAAGAUACUUGUGCUUAGAAGAAGUAAUAGGGUGGGAGAAUUUCCAGGAUAUCUUGUUUUCCCUGGAGGCCAUCCAGAGCCCAAUGAGGUUGGAGUGACAUGCCAUAAGAGUGAUAUGGACCUGAAUCACAGUGAUAUAUUUAACAGGAAGGUUUCUCAAGAAAUGUUUGAUAGCAUUGUCCGUGAAGUUGUAGAAGAAACAGGAGUGCCUGCAGUGAAUCUUUUCAGUCCUGUCUUUAUUGGUGUAUCACGAAGGGUGUUGAAUGUUAGACCAACUGCUUUUUUCUUCAUAAAAUGCAAUCUUCAGUCAAAGGAAAUUCAGCAUCUAUAUUGUAAUGCAGAAGACAGUUUUGAAUCAACCCAACUGCAGGCUGUUUCAAUGAGUGAUUUGGAGAGCAUGGGAAAUAAAAUGCCAGGGUGCCACAGAGGAGGACUUGAACUGUACAAAUUAAUGCACAAGCCUUGACAGAGAACUAAUGUUGUGGAAUCAAACCUUAAUGGUUUUUCUAUCCUAUAAAGCCUGAUCUAUUAGUAUGUAACUGUGAGUUUCUAUGAAAAUCUCUUCCUAUGUCAGCCACUCAGUUGGUAAACAGGUUAUUGGACUGAUGAGCUUGAGUGGUGGUAGCUAGGCUGGUGUAGUAUGAACAUAUUUCAUUUAAUAAACGGAUGCCAUUUGCAUUUGUGUGAAAGGAAUCACAUAGAGGCAGAUCCAGGACGUCUCUCUCAAGAAUUUAGUCGAUGAUGAUGACUACCAGGUGCUUUCAUUAUCAUUAAUUUCGUUCUUAUUGCUAUUAUUAUAUGUGCAGUGUGGGUAGUGUAAAUGAAAGAAAUUUUAUUAGUGAUAAUUUGCUUGAUCAGCUCAAUGUCUCAAUAAAGAACCAGGUAAGUCUGUGGAUGUCCCUUUCAGUUCAAACGUUUUUGGUUCUUUAAUUGUGAUAAGGUUCCUCGGUCAACUUAGCUGUUCUGCGUUUUAUGUUUCAUGCAUGAUUCAUAUGAAAUGAUUUUAGUCGCUCUGUGAUUAUUGCCAA